UUUUUUUUUUUUUUUUACGGGAUAGCUUCCACCACCUGUCAGUUUGUCGUACUGUGGUGGCUUACGUGUUGCUAUAAUGCUGGAAGCUAUGCCACCAGUAUUUCAAAUACUAGCAAGGUCACCCAUGGCGGACAGGUUUCAGAGGUGCAUACAGACUAACAAGAAGGGCCUGGUGAUCUACUUCUGAAAAUUAGCCAAUAAAAACCCUAUGGAUCACAACAGAAUACUGUCCAAUAUAGUGCUGAGAGAUGAGCCCCUAGGUUGGAAGGCACUCAAAAUACACAGUGGCCACAACAAUGGACUCCAGCAUACCAAUGAUCUUGAAAAUGACACAGGGCCAGGCAGUGUUUCAUUCUGUUGUACAUGGGGUUGCCAUGAGUGGGGGCCGACUCAACCACAACUAACAGCAACUGGAUAGCCUACCAUGUGGGGAAAAAGGAUAUAAAGCGUGGGCUGACAGACAAUGGGCUCCAAGGGAGACAACCAGAGAAGAUAGCCUAAGGCUGUCCUUCCCACACAACUGCUUCAGCACUCCCUGUUGAAAAACUGAAGUCCACUUUCUAUGUCCAUGCAAGGUCACAGGCUUAAUCAGCCCUGUUGCAUUUCAAGGUGAGGGAGCCCUAUCAGGUCCAACAACAUCUACCACUCCCUGCCCUGGCUGACUCAUCUAGAGCCUGCCCCGUUCCCUCCUGUUAUUAGUUUCCUGUGGCUGUUGUAACAGAUCACCACAAACUCAGUGACUUAUAACAACAUGGAUUUAUUCUCUUAUACUUCUGGAGGUCAGAAGUCCUAAAAUCAAGGAGUUGGCAGGGCUAUGUUCCUUCUGGAGACUCUAGGGGAGAAUAUGUUUCCUUGACUUUUCCAGCUUCUAGAGGCUGCAUGCAUUCCUUGGCUCAUGGUUGCCUUCUUCCCCCUUCAAAGUCAGCAGCAUAGCAUCUUCCAAUCUGUCUCUCUGAUCUCUGCUUUCGUUGUCACAUCUCCUCUCUGACUCUGACUCUCCUACCUGCCUUUUAUAAGAACCUUGUGAUUAUAUUGGGCCCACUCAGAUAAUCCAAGAUUUUUAGCUAAAUCACAGCCUCAAAGUUCCUUUUGCCAUGUGAGAUAACAUAUUCACAGGUUCCAGGGAUUAAGAUACAGACAUCUUUGGGGGGCCAUUAUUCGGCCUACUACACCUUUUCACCACAACAGCCCAGCCACUGGAGAUAAGAAGCAGGAGAACAUGGCAAAGGAGGUACUGGGUUGCAUUAGACACCAUGGCUCUCUCUAGCAUGUGCUGUGAUAAAAUGAGGUAGACCAGAACAACCUAAAGAUAAAAUUUCCUCAGACAAAUUUGGAGCAGCUCUGAAUUUGCCUUGCCCUGCUCAGCUGACUGGACAGUGAGGUUGGGGUGGGGCAGAGGUUGCCCUUAAACCAGGUCAUAUUACCUCGCUCCACAAAAUGGAUGGCCAACAAGGAAAGUCACCAUUUCCAUGCAUAUGCCCAUUUCCAUCCUGCCCAUCUCCUGCUCCUCAGCCUUGCUCCUGUUUCUAGCUCUGUUUCUAACCUGGAGACUUGCCCGCUGACCUAAGUUUCCAAUCAUUGGCCCCAUUGGUCAUUGAAUCAGGCUCACCUUCUGGCUCUUCCUCCUUCAGUAGAAAUCUAUGUAUCAUCUUUGGUCCCCUAGCUGCCAACCACUAUACCUCAAGGAGGUGGACGUUGCUCAGGGAAAAGGGCCCGGAAAUAUUCCCCACCGUUCUUCCCUUGUUCUCCCUGGCCCCUCACCCACAGCCAUUCUGACCAGAAAUGUGCGAUACACACACAAUAGAAUAUGGGUCACUGUGAGCUCAACUUUGUGAAAAACUGUGAGGUGUUCCCCCCGCCCCGGCCCUACUAUCUCAAAAAAUGUUUAAAAGUUUGGUUCAUUCAGAUAUAAUUUGUCAAGAUCCUAGAAUUUACGGGAAAAUGAUGAUUUGCAGUGAUGAGAUAGGCUAUUUAAAAUUCAGGGCUGCCCCAGAAUUUCCAAAACAUACGAUCGACAUCUGGAAAACAUCUGCACGAAUGGUGUGGCUGCCACAGAUAACAGAGAAUUGGAAAUUUUAAGAAUGAUACUGAGAGUUCCUGGGUCCUAAGAACAUCAGGAUAAAGCAAAAGAAUGCCAAAAACACCCCAGGGCUACCGACAAGGAGGGACCCUGCCCUAGAGCCAAUGCCUGAUUUGGACUUCUAGCCUCCACAACUGUGAGACAAUAAAUUCCUGUUCUUUAAAGCCACCCACUUGUGGUAUUCUUGUUAUGACAACAGUAGGAAACUAGACAAGCAUGAAUGCUAGAGAUUCUUACAUGGCCAAGUAUCAUUUCCCACUAAUGCCGCAUGUCUAUUUCCUUGCUUUUCUUUGUGUUCCAAUUUGUGGCUCCAGAGGUACUGCAUGGUGGCUAAGGAACACUAGGAAACACUAAACAACUCAUAUUACUUCUAAAUGUAUGUAUGUGCAUGAUAUCUAUGUACAUACAUAAACAUAUGUAUGCAGGAAGCACGAUAUUAGUUCUUUACAUUGGAACCCAGAUAAACAUUGAACAUUAAUAAUGCAAAAAUACAUGUAUUUGUAAAAAGGUUUAAUAAUAUUCACUUAAAUCUUCAAAAAGCUAAAUAAAUAAUUUUGACUGUGGCAUCAUGAUUGGAGGAAGAGUGAUUAACAACCUGUGAUAUACAAAUGACACCACCUUGCUUGCUGAAAGUGAAGAGGACUUGAAUCACUUACUGAUGAAGAUCAAAGACUACAGCCUUCAGUAUGGAUUACACCUCAACAUAAAGAAAACAAAAAUCCUCACAACUGGACCAAUAAGCAACAUCAUGAUAAAUGAGGAAGAAAUUGAAGUUGUCGAUGAUUUCAUUCUACUUGGACCAGCAGUUAAUCACCAUGGAAGCAGCAGUCAAGAAAUCAAACAAUGUAUUGCACUGGGCAAACCUGCUGCAAACAGCCACUUGAAAGUUUUAAAAAGCAAAGAUGUCACUUUGAGGACUAAAGUGCGCCUGACCCAAGCCAUAAUCUUUUCAAUUAUCUCAUAUGCAUUUGAAAGAUGGACAAUGAAAAAAGAAGACAGAAGAUUUGAUGCACUGGAAUUGUGGUAUUGGCAAAGAAUGAUGACUAUACUGUGGACUGCCAGAAGAACAAACAAAUCGGUUUUAGAAGAAAUAUAACCAGAAUGUUUCUUACAAGCAAAGAUGGUGAGACUUUGUUUUGCUUAGCUUAGACAUGUCAGCAGGAAAGACCAGUUGCUAGAAAAGGACAUCAUAGUUGGUAAGGUGGAAAGUCAGCAAAGGCAAGAGAGGCCCUCAGUGAGAUAGACUGGCAAAGUGGCCGGAACAAUGGACUGAAACAUAGCAAUGGUCAUGAAGAUGGCUCAGGACUGGGCAACGUUUCCUUCUGUUAUACAUAAGGUCCUCAUGAGUUGGAGCGAACUCCAUUGCAACUAACAACAAUAACAACAAUAUUGGUUCAUUAAUUGUAACAAAUCUACCACACUGAUGCAAGAUGUUAAUAAUAGGAAAACGAGAGUGCAGGUGGGAAAGAGGAUACAUGGAAACGCUCUGCACUACCUGCUCAAAUUUCUGUAAGCCUAAAACUGCUCUAGAAAAUAAGGUCUGUUAGUUUGAACAAACAAGCCAUAAUGAGAAUGAAUAAUAAUCGUGAUCAGCCUCAUUCAUGGAUUCACAGGGUACAAGACAACCAACACCCUCCCUUAGUGAGAUUCCUGUGUUGAUUUUGCAUUAGUAAUCAGGUUCAGCUUCUCCCUUAAAGAAGUAGCAGAGAGGAUUUUAUAAUAAUUCCCUAAGCAUGGGGGUGAGGGUGGGAGUGGGUGGUGCGAUGAGGCACACCCUAAUGAAACAGAAAACUUGAGAGCUGCUUUAGUAGAAUAGAGUUUCAGAGCUGAAAAGGGCAGGCAGGGUGGAGACACAAUUAGUCGAAGAACAAAGUUCAGUCCAAACCUUAUGCUUAUUCCUGGCCAGCUACCAAGUCCCUAGCCUUGGCAUUCUGAACUUUAAUAUUUUAUAAAUUGGUCCCAAACUGAAGAGAGAAGGUCUCUUCCGUUGGGGUCGGAAAAUAGUGUCGCCCAAUUGGGCUGGUGUUAAGAAUUUUAGGAGGAGCAGCCCCUUCUCUGUCCCUCUCUGGUGGUGGGAAAGAAAGAGCGAACUCCUCAAGGAGGGACUCCUUGCUACCUACCUGCAGACUUUAGGUUUGGUUUGGCCUGUCUAGCACUAGCUAUCUCCUGGUUGACAUUUAACUUUAGCCGUGGUGGAACUUUCUAUAAAAGCACUGGUUUCCUCACGUUUGUAGAAGUGGGGGAAAGCUUGCCAAACUUACCCUUGGCAAAGUUCUGGAUUAUUAUUUGCUUCUUGAAUUUGUUUUGAUAUGAACAGGUUCCCACAGGCAGGACCACCCUUAGAUCUCAGCAAGAGGGACCCGUGCCCAGACCCCGCGUUUCAGAGUGUUCCACAUGUAACACACACAAAAACACAUUUAUGAAUAAAGACAUGGGCACCUCUUGUCUCAGGAUCAGCUAUUCAGCAUGAUGCGUGACCCUUAACAUCCGCUUCCAUGACUGACAGUGUUCACUUCUCCACAGGCCUAGGCCUAUGUCCUCCAGACAAAAGGUGACUACGACCAAACGAUGGGAAGAUUUGUGGGUUGUCCUGAGAAAGAUGCCAGAGACAGACAAUGCUACAGCGUUCAAGGAGGUUUUGAGGGACUGAAGUGCUUUGAUAAGAGAAAAGACAACAUUAUGGAACUCCUUCCUCUCAGGUCACAUGAAUAUAAGCGGUUCUCCUAGUGGUUCUGAGUGUCCAUUUUCUUGUUUCUCUUAGAAUUUCAAUUCAUGGUUCUGGAGGUAUUCAUGAAUUAGAGUGAUAUUUGCAAUGUGGCAACUAAGGAAUAUUCAGCAAUAUUAAACAAUUCAUACUACUCCUGAUUUGGUAUAUGUGUAGGCCUGGGGCUAAUAUGUAUGUCAUGUGAUACCAGUUCUUUAUGUUGUUUUACUCUUAGAUAAAUAGUUAAUAACUAAUUACAUUUUCAAAAGUAUAUUUAAAAUGUCAGCUUUAUCUUCAGAAUUUGGUGUUCAUGGAUUAUAUUUGCCAUUUAAUUUUAAAGCAUAUUUUUGAAUAUUUUAGAAGAAAACAUUUUAAAAAAUUUAUUUAAUUUUGUCACUGUUGUUGUUGAGAAUAUACACAGCAGAACAUACACCAAUUCAACAAUUUCUACAUGUACAAUUCAGUGAUACUGAUUACACUCUUUGAGCUGUGCAACCAUUUUCAUCCUCCUUUUCCAAAUUGUUCCUUCCACGUUAACAUAAACUCACUGCCCUGUAAGUUUCCUAUCGAAUCUUUUGCGUUGCUGUUGUCAGUUUGAUCUUAAAAGGGCAUAAUGUUAAAAACAGACUUUUUUUUUUACUAAUGAAGCUAAACUAUUGUUUUGUUUAAAGAAGAUGAAGAAAAAUAUUUUUGAAACGUAUAAAAAAUAAUUAAAGAUUUUGAAUUUUACUAUCUGCUUUAGGAAACCCCAGCGAUAUAGUGGUUAAGUGCUACAGCUGCUAACCAAGAGAUCGGCAGUUCAAAUCCACCAGGCACUCCUGGGAAACUCUGUGGGGCAUUUCCGCUCUGUCCUAUAGGGUCCUGUGAGUCGGAGUCGACUCGACGGCGUUUAACAAAGGCUUACAAAGUGAACAUUCAUCUCAACAACAUCCAGGUCAAGAAAUAGAACAUUGGCCAUACCCUUGAAGCCCCCAGGAGUCCCUCCUGAUCAGGUGUCUCUCCUUCUUCCCUCUAGAAAUAAUCCCUAACCCGACUUUUAGAGUAACAAUUCCUUUGCUUUUCUUUAUAGUAUUACCAUUCAUGUAUGCAUUCUAAAACAAUAUGGUUUCGCUUUGCCUGUGCU